rnacentral:rRNA from 1 species
CCAGACUCCUACGGGAGGCAGCAGUGAGGAAUAUUGGUCAAUGGGCGGGAGCCUGAACCAGCCAAGUCGCGUGAGGGAUGACGGCCCUAUGGGUUGUAAACCUCUUUUGCCGGGGAGCAAAGUGCCGCACGUGUGCGGUUUGGAGAGUACCCGGAGAAAAAGCAUCGGCUAACUCCGUGCCAGCAGCCGCGGUAAUACGGAGGAUGCGAGCGUUAUCCGGAUUUAUUGGGUUUAAAGGGUGCGCAGGCGGAAGAUCAAGUCAGCGGUAAAAUGGGGAGGCCCAACCUCUGCGAGCCGUUGAAACUGGUUUUCUUGAGUGAGCGAGAAGUAUGCGGAAUGCGUGGUGUAGCGGUGAAAUGCAUAGAUAUCACGCAGAACUCCGAUUGCGAAGGCAGCAUACCGGCGCCCGACUGACGCUGAGGCACGAAAGCGUGGGGAUCGAACAGGAUUAGAUACCCGGGUA